UGGGGAAUUUUCCGCAAUGGGCGAAAGCCUGACGGAGCAAUACCGCGUGAGGGAAGAAUGCCUGUGGGUUGUAAACCUCUUUUAUCAGGGAAGAAUUUUGACGGUACCUGAUGAAUAAGCAUCGGCUAACUCCGUGCCAGCAGCCGCGGUAAUACGGGGGAUGCAAGCGUUAUUCGGAAUCACUGGGCGUAAAGCGUCUGUAGGUGGCUUAGUAAGUCUGCUGUUAAAUGUUAGGGCUUAACCCUAAAUCAGCGGUGGAAACUACUAGACUUGAGUAUGGUAUGGGCAAAGGGAAUUCCCAGUGUAGCGGUGAAAUGCGUAGAUAUUGGGAAGAACACCAGUAGCGAAAGCGCUUUGCUUGGCCUUAACUGACGCUCAGAGACGAAAGCUAAGGUAGCGAAUGGGAUUAGAUACCCCCGUAGUCC
rnacentral:rRNA from 1 species